CGAACCGAUCACAAGAACUGUACAGCCAUGGUAAAUUAGCUGCCGUAUAAAAGUAUUGGCUGAUAUUGUAACGAUAUCAUUGCCUACAGAAUGAAAUUCUUGGUGCUAUUUUGUGUGCUCUUUGCGCUAUUGGGCGUGGCUGUGGUAAGGGCGUGGGGUGACAUCGAUCGAAACAGUGUCAGUAAGAAACAUGCCGCGCUUGCUUCUCACUUACCAGCCGAUGUUAACGUCCGAGAUGUGCUCACUUCUCUUCGAGUAACAUCCCUCUUACAUUAAUUACAAUCAAACAAAUAUUCAGCACAUUUUUGAUGAACCAACUUAUUACUUAAAAUAAUAACUGAGUUUAAUAAUAUUAAUAAAUGGAAAUAUAAAUAAAAUUAAUAUUGAUGUUCAAUAAUUGAAACUAAAUUGUUCAAUAUUUCAUUUAAAAUUAAUAAAUCGUGCUAUUAUUUGAUAAUGUUUUUUUUUUAUCAUUCAUGCCGUUAAGUUAAAUGACCACUAGUCUACCGUGCCUACCGUUAAAUAAUUGCAUUGGUUUGCUAAUGCUUAAAUAUAUAUGUAACGGAAUUUGUUUUGGCCAUUCAGAUUUUAUCACGACUAGGAUUGCCAACCCUUCGAAAGUAAAAAACAGCAUAUUACAUAAUUAUAUGUAUAUAGUUUUACGAUAAAAAAGUGUAGUAGUUGAAUUGGUCUUCCUGUCUAUGUUGGAAUCAUCCCUUUUUUUACGCUUUUCCCCCGCGUGAAAAAACCAGCACUACCCUUUCCGUCUAAACGAGGAGCACCACGGGAUCGUUUGCGCAUGCUACUCUGGCGCUCUGACGGAUGGGCCUAUGCGGGCCUCUAUUAUCUAGGGGUACUGAGAACCACCCUAGUCCCAGCGACACCUACUACAGUGGGAGGAGAAGGUGCGCAUAGCGCCUCUUUUUUCCCUCGGUUUUCUUCGGCGGAGCGGGUCUGCAGCGGCGUCCGCAUCCCGCUUCCACUCCGCGGCCUCCUUCUGUCACAUCACACUUUCACAAAAGGAGACCAUUUCGUCCAAUCGUCCAAUAUUUAUUUCUAUAAUAAUAUAAUUAAAUCAUCAACAGGUAACAGGGCGUCACAUCGAUUAGAAUUAUUAUAUAUAUUAUACCAGGCGUGAUUAACGCCUUUUAUGUUGAUAACCGAUCACAAGAACUGUACAGCCAUGGUAAAUUAGCAGUCCUAUAAAAGUAUUGGCUGAUAUUGUAACGAUAUCAUUGUCUACAGAAUGAAGUUCUUGGUGCUAUUUUGUGUGCUCUUUGCGCUCUUGGGCGUGGGCAUGGGUGAAAUCGAGCGAAACAGUAUCAGUAAGAAACAUGCCGCGCUUGUUUCUCACUUACCAGCCCAUGUUAACGUCCGAGAUGUGCUCUCUUCACUUCGAGCAACAUCCCUCUUACAUUAAUUACAAUCAAACAAAUAUUCAGCACAUUUUUGAUGAACCAACUUAUUACUUCAAAUAAGAACUGAGUGUAAUAAUAUUAAUAAAUAUAAAUAAAAUUAAUAUUGAUGUUCAAUAAUUGAAACUAAAUUGUUCAAUAUUUCAUUUAAAAUUAAUAAAUCGUGCUAUUAUUUGA